ensembl:lncRNA
CUGUUGUCUUGUCUGUCUACUGUCGCGCACUAACCGGCAAGACAAAUUCCUUGUAUGUUUGACAUAUUUUGGCUAAUAAAUGUUUCCUGAUUCCUGAUUCCUGAUUCCUUCAAAGGUUGCAGCCACCAAAAUGAGGCACAGUUAUGCGUGUCGACGAUGGGAUUUGGCCUCUGUCUUCGUCACACUUGGCGAAAGGUCAUUUGUUUAUGGAAGACAUACCACUCUGUUUAUUUGUUCGUGUUUUAAACAAAAGCAUGACGGAUUGUUCUUGGAGAGGAUGACUCCCAACUCCCCCAAGUUUCACAUCCGUGGGAGACAGGUAGCUUAUUAGUAGUCACAGCUGGUUAGGACCGUAAAUGACAGACAGCUGGGGAAGAGAGUUCUUGAAAAUUCCCAAUUAAACUUUUAAACAUAUCGUUGUUUUGAGAUAAUCACCUUGUGAGUUCUUGAUUGGAGCCUUCAAAUUAAGGGAUGUGCACAGCUCGUCCUGCCAGUCCGUCAAACUCACACAUUCAACUAUUAUAAAGAAUUGCCAGGAAAAUAUCAAUCAAUGUUUGAAUGGCGGGAACAAUAGGAGGACCCUAACAACGAGGCCCUGCGUUACUUUUGAUCAUAUUCUAUUCAAUGUUCAUGUGCAAACCAUACAUUUGGUCACUGAAUACACACGUGUAAUUUGUCACAAUAUUGGCGAGAGAAGUGUCAGUUACGGCAAUUUCAUCAAAUCGCUGGGCUGGUGGUGGUGGGGGGGGGGUCAAUGAGGUGAAAUCCUUUGUAUUUAAAAGUUCAGUCACGUAUGCAUCAUCUCGCAUACAAUUGCACCUGCGAUCGCAUCAUGUUUUUUGUGUUCAGAGGUUUGACGUGCAAUCACAUGGUGUUUGUAGCUUAAGAGUACUGAGAGAGUAUCACGAGAAAUAUAUAUCCACUUCCUCGAAGGCCGGGGGUCUGGGCCGAUGACCAUUUAUACAUGUUGCUACAAAGCUCAAACGGUGCAACUGAUUGGUUGCUUAACAUUUGCUUGCCUCGGGUCCGCCACCACCAAAGGAGCAAAGUGGAAUAUAAUCCAUAACGUCCCGCUUAUGUAGACAAUAGCAAUUCAGUGAAGAACAUCCUGUGAAUGUUUAAUUAUUCUUCAGAAAAUGAAAAUUGGCAGACGCAUGUACUUGUGUAGGACUCAUUUGCACAUUAAAAGGUGUAUAGAGCAGAUGCUGAUGUGGUUCACUCCAGGGCUGACGGGGUAUAAAAAAGAAACAUUGAGGCUUCAGAUCAACAGUUAGAAUGGAAGUUUGCCAUCAAACCACACAGGUUAUUGACUCAAAUUAGGCCUAAUUGACAUGGGCAGGAUUUGUGGUUUUCUUUAUGGCAUCAGGGAUAAAAAGGCAUCAUAAACUCCAUCUCAGGCACCGGUCAAUGUGUUAGCAGAACAAAGAUGCGCAGGGAAACCGCUAUAGGCCAGGCGAGUGUCACUGCCCGGGUUCAUUUUAAUUUUAACAUUGGUCAUCUCAUCAGUUCUCUACACAGACAGUUUACUUGUCAGAUUAAUAAUCUAUCAUUAAUACCAAGUAGACAGUAUAUCAACAGAUGAAUGCAGGAUGUGACCGUUUUGGUGAGUUGACUAUAAUAGGGAACCACUUUGUCCCACCCGGUCAUGUUAUUUAUUUAUUCUGAUAAAAGCAGAUUUCUGUGGUGUGCAUUUUUUUAAAUUCUUCAAACAUGAAGAUGUCCCUCACCUAACAUGUUAAGAAGUAUACUGCAAAUGUUUUCCCUUUUACACCUCCAUCAGGUCUUUCCUAUGAGAGGUACUGCCAAAGGUUUAGACUCUACAACUCUAUUUUACAUAAUCCAAAAACAUUUGUUCCCGCUUGCCUUACCUAUAAUGAGUAGAGCAGACAAAAGGGCAUAUUCUAAAUGUCAUUUCAAGCACUAUUCAAACGGACAAGCUGAGGACGUAUUGGUAAAACAUUGCAGUGCUGCUUUGCGAGAUAAAACUGUAUUAGUGAGGGAAAGAUCAGAACUAUACUCAGUGGCUUCGUGGAUUUCAAUGUCUAUCCAGAUUAUUGUUGCCCCGCUGAAACUCAACGACAGUUGCAGACAAAAGGAACAUUUUUAUAUACAAAUGUUUCUUAAAUUACAUAUGCUUUUAAAUAUUUCUUUGACCAUUGAUAGGAACAAGGAAUGACAGUGUUACUGGCAUCUGGAAUGAAUUAGUGCUGUUAUUGAACUAAAUACAAUGUUAAUUGAUACUACGAUACUACGCAUUUUGGCAGUAUUGUACACUAGUGUUUAGGCAUCCUUGAGGUUUGUCAAAUAAUGUAUUCUGUUCAUGAAUGCAUUCUUGUUCUUGGAAUAUUUAAGAAUACUUAGAGGGCUAAUUCUACUUUUAUUCUAAUUGAAUGGGGGAAUAAUCCCAUUUAAAUCCUCUACCCGCAACCAUUUUUCCAUUUUGUAUUCCUGACUGUAAAAGGGGCAAUGGGGAGAAGCUGACACUGUCGCAUCGAAUGAUUUGUGUAAAAUAAUUACCAGUGUGUAGUACAACAAGUUAUUCUGAAAAAUGAUAAACAAAAUCAACAUAAACAACCUAACAAGCUGAUCUACUUUCCCCUCAUUGUAAAAUACAAAUUCUUGGGGGCUUAUUGGGGCAGUUUGUCACCUCCCAACACCACUCUUCAGCUAUAGCUGCUACACAUCGGUGGUAAGCUAAUAUGCUUUUCGUUGUUUUCGUUGUGGAUCCUAAAUGACACCUAAACGGCAUUGUCAUGUACAGGUUAAUGUCCCUCUCUUCUUGAUGAAGAGAUGCUUUUUGCAAUGACACAUUUUUUAAAUGGGAUUUUCCAUCAAAACUGAAUGACACUGGAAUAAUUACAUGUGAAACAUCCCACACCAUUGAAGUGGUAAACACGUCAGAAAAGGAAAAGCACUUCUAACCCUAAAUACAAAAAAUCAAAUACAAAGAGCAAACAAUAAAACAAUAUGAAGCCGCAAAUGUCUGUUUUACACAGCCCAUUGCACUGGCAAAAAAUAUUGUGUUCAUAAUAUUUAUGUAUGUAUUUUUAUUUAUUCUAUUCAUCAGAAAAUUACCAAUAAAGGGGUGUAAACGGACACCGAAUUAACUGUACCUUUAAAAAACAAUCUUUAACCCAGAAGUGGUUUACAUUUUGACCUAGCAGAAAGCACAAUGCUUAAUUUCCAUAUAAAAAUACCGCUUUAAAAGUCAUAAUUUAUGUAUUUCAUAUUAACUGACAUGUCAAAAGCAGGUUCACAUGACCCCGAGUAUCCCCGCUUGGCUUCCGCUUCUUCUGUAGCGAUGAAGAAAUCGCUACAGAAGAAGCAGAAGCCAAGCGGGGAUACUCGGGGCAAGUAUGUGUGUGUGUAUGUGUGAGGAGGGCUACUAGCAGCAAGCUGCAGGGAGGCCCUGCAUGGAUGGAUAGAUCUGUGUUACGGUGCUGCUCAGCAGUACUAAGAGCAACAUUGCUCUGCUAUUUUCUUUCAAAAUGUGUUUUUGCGUCUCACGAGUUGAGGAAAAUUCUGGAGAAGCACAGCAUCUUUUGAAACUUACCGCUUCAAAAACAAAACAAAGCCCUGCUCUUUAAAAUUAAUUUCACCUUGUUCUGCAUACGACAACGCUCAUCAAUUACACGCACAGCGACCGCAUCUUGUCUCAAUCAUUGGUUACUCAAACACAGUAAUUGCUCUCCCAGGAAGUAACAAGAAAGGGUAAAACAUUGCUCAAUAACACUUCCUCUCUAAUGUGCUUCGCUCCACCGAUCAUUCUCAGUGAUGACACUAUUACUCUUCUCCCCAGGCAAAACUGAUAGACAACAAAUUGACUGCAUAAGCUAAACCUCAACCCUCCAAUACAGGCCUAAAUGAGUGCUUUUCAACCUGUUUUUUUACGGGGUUAUUUGGGGGUUGGCUCUCCUAUGGUUAAAUGAGCCAAGAAAGUUUAGUGGCCAAUUCUAAGUGAAUCCUCUGCGGAGCAGCACUUUUCUGUUCAAGAUGAAUCUUUUAGCUCAAAGCAUUUGGGGCUCCAAGACGAUGGGCCUAAUGCACUUCUCGGUUUAAACACCGCACUCUGCAGUUAAGCACCCUGAAGGCUUAAGAUGCUGCUACAUGAUUCACACCAAUGUGCUAUUUGGAACAGUGGUUGGUGUCAGAAAGGCCUUUUCCAAAGGUUGAAUUAGAAGUAGCUGCUUUUUAUUAAUUUUCUGAAACUUACGAGUGACACAAGAAGCACGUGAAAACAUCCAGGAUUGUAUGUUGUAGUUUAUUCCUCUAAGCUCUGCAAAAUAACACUAUCAAACACUCAAGCUAUUGUAGUUAUGGUGGCAAAUUUGUUUUUCUCAAAGGUAAAAAUAAAAUCUAGUUACUUUUGUAAAUUGUAUCAACGGUAUCAACAACGUGACUCCAAGCUACACAUGUUUUUCUCUGUGUUGCUGUCACUACUAGCUGUGACGGAGGAUCUUGCCAUUCUUAGUUCUGCCUAUGGACGGCUUCAACACUGGAUCUAUGGUGUUUCUGGAAGUGUGUAUCCAACAUAAAGCCUAGUAUCUGUCCAACAUGAGGCCGGCGCUCAGAUAUUUUAAAUAAAGUAGUCGUUGAUAGCAAUGAAAUAAUAUGUGACCUUAUGUGACUGUGGGAAUGUUGAAACAAAAUAAUACAUGUAAUAAAACCUCUCAAAGGGAAUGAGAGGAGCUGAUGUGAUUGUGAUUCUUCCUAUGACUCCACCUGAUUAUGCUGUAUUCCUUCUACAAUUAAUGUAUUCAUCCUGCUCCAGCAACCUUUUGCUGUGUUUUUUUUCCACUUGUGCCGAGAUUGCAUUUGCACAUUUGGUCACAAAAAAAGGGUAAUUUGGACUUUGUGAGUUAGCGACUGUUUGUGUGCCCAGUAUUAGGAAAGUGGAAGCCAAUGUAUCAUUACUGUCAAUCAUUAUUUGCAACAGUAUUAAUACGAGAAGUGUUUCUCUUUGCUGUUUUAAGUAAAUUGUUUUUGUCUAAAGGUUAUUGUCAGUAAUUUUGUCUGAAUUAAAAUAUGGUAAAUGAACUAAUUUUUGAGCCAACGAUGCAGGGGUCAUUGCAACCACUCUGCUCCGCCCGGACAUUGUAUUAACACAACGGAGUGAAUGAUCCUGCUGGACUUUGCCAUCCUGUGGGAAGACCGGAUUGAGGAUGCCAACAACUGUGAAAAGGGCUUAAUAUGCAGAUCUUAGAGAGCUGGAGAAAUGGUUGGAAAGCCCUGUUUGAGCCAGUUGGCAAGUAAAUGUGGAGAGGUGAAUUAUUAAACUAAUUCACAUUCACACUCAUUCAAACACCGAUGGCCCGGCUUUCACGAGAUCAUUUGGGGUUUGCUGUCUUGCCCAAGGACACUUGUGCAUUUACUGUAGGAGCCUGGGCCCAAACAACCUGCUCUGCCACACGACUAACUCAGAACACGUUGUGGUGGAGAAAGAGACUGGCUGGAUCCAUGAAGGGGGGUAUUGUCUUGAAUUCUGGUUUUUGUUAUAUGUAUCAUGAUAUUUAUGGCAGUUUUUAAUUUUGUCCCUCUCUGUGAUUGAGUUUGACACCACUGCUCCAGCCUAAUCAAGACUCGCGUUACUCACUAACCGUUUUAGAGAGCGAGCUGACAGCGCAACACCAAAACGUAAAUCCGUUAGAGGUGGAACUGAAAAGCUCAGGGAGAAAAAAAAGAAGAGAUCUCUGGAGGAAGGUGAAUAUAUUUAUAUAAUCUCUGACUUAUUUGGGAAACCGCGGACUUGACACACAAUUCAUUGUUUUGUUAUGCACCUUCAAUACCCCUCGCGGACCCACACACACAUACACACACCCAGCCUGCAACAAUAGUGAUACCACUGAUGUUCACACCCCAUCAUAUGUUCUGUUGAUUUCUACAAUAUAGCUCAUACUAAUUCUAGCCUCUCAUUGCAGUGUCUUUAGUGUGUUCUCUUUCUCUGCUGACAUUCAUUCCUUAAGGCUCUGUAGUUAUACGUGUAACCAUCGGAUACUAGUUGAGCAUACUCACCUGGCAAACUGUACCUAUCUUUGAUUGUUACAAUAACCGGUAUCAUUUUAUUUUAUUCCAUGUGCUCAUCCAGGCAAAUUGUUAUAAAAAAAACAUAUGAUGUAAUUUGUUUGUAAUCAUCCAAAAUAAUGUUAAGUGUAUGGGUAUUUUUCCAAAUGGGCCUGUUACGUGCCUCGGCCUGCUUGGGGGUGUGUGUGUGUGUGUUUUGACUUGUGUUCCCACAGGUGUUCUGACACACCCACCAUGCAGUCAUCUCCACUGCCCGCUCCCAUCUGCAGCCACUAAUCACCCUCACCCACAGCCAAUCAACUGCAGGAUUCCGUGGCUUAAAAGGAGGGAGGGAGAGACCCAGGAAGGCAGAGCUGUUGGAGAGAGCCGAAGGACUGUUGCGAAAAAUAACUUUUUGGCAGGAACUAUUGUUUUGAGCUGGGUUCAAGUGACAGUUCUUGUGUUUUUGGUUACAUAUGUAUUUGGGUCAUGUGAACUGGUGAAGGUUAAGUUAUUGUUAUUCUGUCUGUGGUUAUCACGUUGUUUGUACUUUUUAUUUUUUGCUUCUUCCGUUGUCCCAGGGAAAAGGGGACCGCACAAUGGGAGUGUGUAGGUAAGAGACCCUGGGGUUUACAUACUACCCGUAGAUAAACUUCUGUCUAUAUACACUAGGUAAGACCUGGGCGGACCACCCCCUGUAUUUAUCAGAGAGUUUAGCAGGUGGUGUUUAGACUAGAUAGGUUAGGGGUCCUUUUCAUUGGUUAAUUUCUUUGCUUUGGUUCCGCUCAGCCCCUUUUCCCCCACUACCGUAUUAUAGGUGAAAUAAACCUUGUUUAAACGGUACUUUGUUUUGUUGGUCCUACUUGUGCGCCCACGCAAUUUUUUUUCACCUCACCCACCUUUUGGCCAGCUCACGUGUGACUGCGAGUUACGGUAUCCUCUCUUUAGAGGAGGGCGUAACAAAUGGGGGCUCGUCCGGGAUUUGGACCCGGGACCUCUCGCACCCCCAAGCAGGCCGACUGACUGGUCGAUACGUGCGGUGCAUUGAGUGGGCACAAGUCUCACAAUGAUUUCAUGCGCCAAUGAGUAGCUUGUUCUAACGAUGAGAAAUGCGUGUACUAUUUUGCUGAACAAACGAGUACAAAAACGUCUCCCUCACACUAGGGUCAUCAAAUCAUAGUCAGGUUAUUGACCAUUCAAUUUUGCUAAUUACAGGGACCUUGUUUUUAGUAACACAGGUUGGAAUGAACCGUAAAACAAGAUUUCUGCUGUUAAUAAAAAUAUAUCAGGUCAAUUCAUGAUCGCAUAAAUCUCUUAGUCCACUCCGUUGUCUUGUCUGCAGCUUGGCUGAGGAAAAAGAUGAAUCUGCACCUACAAUACAGUAAGAAAAGGUUGUUAUGUAAACACCGUGUGAGGAGAUAACUGGGAGUUAAUUGGACCGCUUUAUUUCUGUUGUAUGUGUAAAUAAAGUGUUUAUUGUAUAACAGAUGCAAAUUACGUUAAAGUGUAAGGAAAUUAAGGCAGUGAGAUAAACAAUUAAAGUGUUAAAGCCCUGCAGGAAUGUGUAAUGUUUGACAACAGUUUCAUGUGAAGCCUCAAAUGAGAUUUCCAUGGUUGAAUUCAACUUUAAAUCACAUUUUGUGUUCAGCCAUAGACAUGUUUUGCGAAAAAAUUGUCCCCCCAGGAAACGGGGAAACAUAAUUUCCAAAUUGGAACAUUUAUGAAGUCAGAGUGUACAAAAGAAAUUCUAGUUCAUUUAUUCAUAGUGGACGCUAAGCGCUCUUACAGAGCCGUCCAUCAGAGGCUCUGAAUGUUUGCAAGCGGAGGCUUCAGGCCAAAUGGUUCCAGACUCACUCAGUGAGCCUGCAUGCAAGCACACUGGCUGCCAGAGGCACUCUCCACGGGGCAAGUAACUCCUCACAGUGCAAUUCAAUGCCUUUCAAUUGGCGUGUUAUUUUGCUGCCAGUUCACAUGCCCUUUUCAUUCGGAAAAAGACAAUAAGGAAUCUAUCUGUCUUUGGUACGUAAAAUCAAAUAAAUGUGAAUCUGAUCAUAAAUAUAGUUUUACUAUUUUUUGGUAGGGCAUUUCUUUUCAGAUGAUAUGGCAAAAAAAUGUUUCUUUAUUAACAAAGAAAUGUUUAAAUAUGAAAUGUUUAAAAUACUUAGAUCUUUCAUUGUGUAGUAUUGGGACAGAUAAUGAAAUUAAAUGAAAACAAAUGAAGGGGUAUUGGUAACUGGGUAUGGUCUUAUAUAGAAGAAUGGUCUUAUAUAGAACAUCUUCAAUAUUAGCAUAUACUAGAACCUGACUGUUCAGUAUAUAUAAAUAUAAAUUGAUUAAUAAAUUAUUAUUAUGAGGGGCCGUUUAGGACUUGACUAUUGCUCAGAACGGACCACGACACGGAGCUCUGCAGCAGGACGAUGGGUGGAGGAACGUAACAGUGAUCCUACAGCACUGUUCUCCUGAUCUGGAAUCCUUCAUUAUUAACUCUAAAUCCCCCCGUGAGUUUGCUUCGUUCAUCCUGGUCGGUGUUUACAUGCCGCCGGAGGGCAACGUGCAGGAAGCACAGCGGACACUCGCCGACCAGAUAAGGCGUGUGGAGCACUCCGACCCGGACUCCUUAGUCAUUGUCCUCGGGGACUUUAACAAAGGAAAUCUCAGCCAUGAACAUCCUACGUGCAAACAGUUUAUUAAAUGCCCGACCAGAGAGGAGAACACGCUGGGUCACUGUUACACCACAAGCAGGCCUUAUCACGCCGUCCCUUGUACUGCGCUGGGACACUCGCGUUGCAUGUGGGCGAGAUAAAUGCGAUGGAAAGGCCAUGGAUUUAUGAAGAGUAUGCGACAGAGACAAAGAAAUGGAAACUGACAUAUGUUAACGUUCUAAAGGAGUAUCAUUGAUGUCGAUCAAAAGUUGAAAUAUCAAUAAUCUUUCUUGAGAAUUGUUGACUCUACCUUCAAGCCUGGUUAACUGUUGUAAUCAAAUAAGACCAAUGAUUAGUAAGAUGUUAUUGUCUGAGAAAAUUACAUUUCACACAAAAUUGAGGAUAAAACAUUAAAUUGGGAAAGACAGUACUUUCAAUGGACUACUGAUGACUUGAGGCCGGCAGCAUCAUUUCACACAAUUUGCUUUUGUGGAGGUAGAGUGGCGGGAGAGAAGAGAAACACGGCAGCAGGUUUUGAAUGACAAAAUCGAAAGAAAAUUGAGAAAGCAACCAAAGUGAGCAGUAAUUCUACACUAUGAAGAGAAAUUGCCUCAAUUGAGAAAAAGGAAGUUGGGAGUUGAAUGGAGAUUCAGCAAUGUUGUAUUGACAGUAUCGACCUCAAACAAACUUUCCUUCAUGAUCAGGAAAUCUAUUUCUGUAACUUUGUAACUCAGUGGCGUUUUCAAAAAAUCCCCCAUAGCGACAAUUUGAAAUUUGUCCAAAACACAUGAAGAUAAAGGCAAUCUCCGAAAUGAAACCCAAAUCAACCUGUAUCUUUACUGUGGAAAAUGUCCAUGUGUAUUUAAACGACAUUGAGAAAUAAGUAAAGCUCAAUGGACUUGUUGCUUUCUAUUCUUGUGACCACUCAAAGCUGUCAGCACAUUCUCAUUUAAAUUCAUUCAGCAAUUUGGGGUUAAGCGUCUUGCCUAAGGACACAUCAACUAGCCCGGGGUCGAAUCACAGAACCACUGGUGUAGGAUGACCCUGAUCUACCCCUGGGCCGCAGUCAGUAGUGGUAAGGGGAGUGAGGUUGUAGAGAAAGGAGUAAAUCUUUAUGGAAAGCAAGGUUCUAUGAGAAAGCUGAACAAGACAAUUUAAAUAGUAUUUUAUUCAGAUACAACGCACAGAAAAGCGGCGACCCUCACUUCAGGCCUCGAGUCCUUUAAUGUGACUGAGCUUAGGUCACCUCGUCCUUUUCUCCACUUUUCUGGCUCUUUUCUCUUCACUUGACUUUAAUAGCGCACCUUCUGUCUGCUAUUUGUUCAAGGCUUGUGCAUUAGAUGUUACAAUAAAAAGUGAGUGACCCAGGGGCAGUGGUACAUUGAUUUUUCAGACGUUACUUCUUGACUGGAUAAAAGCUUUCUCAUGUAUGAUACAGGUACAACAGAAGACUAGCAUUCAUUAUUCACUGUCGACCAUUCAAAGACUGUGGUGUUUAGGCUGGCUGCGCUGCUCACUGGUCCCUAUUCUAAAUAAGGAAAUUGGAUGGAGAAGAAUGAACAACAUCGGAUAGAGUACAAAGAAAUUGUUUCCAACUGUCAAAUUUUUAUAUGAGAAUGCAAAGAGGCAAACCUUGAUUAUGGUACACACUUUAAAGUGAGAUCUCUCUGUGACACUGAACUUGGCAGAGUUUUCCUCUUUCCAUUUACUGAAUCACUUGGCGAAAAGGGGCUGCUGGAUCCCACUGGUACUUAGGGAACAAACCCAGUUUGCACACAUUGUACUUAUAUUCUGUAGACGAGACUGCGCACAUAUUUUUGUAAGCCGUUCCAUGCCAAUUUAAAGAAAUAAAAUGGUUUGUAUGAAAUCACAGACUUCAAAUAAUUAGGAUCCUCGCAACGACUAGUCGUAGAGGAACCUAUUGUAUUUCAAGGAAUUAUUAUUCUCACAAAUGAAAUGCCUUUUUGCCUUUAUCAUAUUAAAAAAGUUGUUAAAUUUGGGACGCAUAUCAGAACUGGUGAAAAAUUAGAUAUUUUGUGGGUUUCGCAAUUGGGUACGAAGAAAUGUCUCCAUAGCGCCACCUAGAAAGGUAAAAAAGUACCUCACUAGGCCAGUUUCACUCCCCGAUGUCCGAUCGACUUGAAAUUUGGCACACAUGUGCUCUUGGACAUGCUCUACAAAAAGUCAAUCAUGGUAUUUGAAUUUUUUGAAAAACACGUUUCGGGCCAUUUCUCCUAAACGCUAUGUCAAUUGUCACGAAAUUUUCUGUGGAUCAUAACUAUUGAUAGUUUCCUUUUAAUUCUGACCUGAAAUGGACCAAAAGUAGUCUCGUAAUGGAGAAUUUGAUGGAAACUGGCUCAUGUAUGGUAUUUUGAGAGGCUUUCAUUUUGGAAUAGUAGAUCAGAAUGUCCUGCUUAUCCAUACGUGACACCUAGGUGAUGUGUACUAUCAGUCUGAAGCGGAAAUACUGUAUAACUAUUGAUUUUUUCCAUUUAAAUCUAAUCUGAAAUUGACCAUAUGUAGUCUUGUGAUUUAUAUUUUGACUCAUGUAUGGUAUUUUGAGAGGCUUUAAUUUUAAAAUAGUCCUGGUUAUCCUGGUUAUGUCCUGGUUAUCCCUGGGUGACACCUUGGGGAUGUGUACUAUCCGUCUGAAGUGAAAUGAUCAAAAGUACUCUCGUUAUGGAGAAUUUUAAGGAAAUUAGCUCACGUAUGGUAUUUUGAGAGGCUUUCAUUUUGGAAUAGUAGAUCAGAAUGUCCUGCUUAUCCCUGGAUGACAUCUUGGGGAUGUGUACUAUGAACCUGAAGUGGAGCUAUCAUGUAGCUAUUGGUCGUUUCCUUUUUAAAUACCAUCUGAAAUUGAUUAUAAGGCUGGUGAAUGAGAUGUAAGAGAAGGUUUGGUGAUCUAUGACAUUUCAUGUCGCUCCACACGGUUAACAACAACUGACUCUUUGAUGCUUUGUCUGACGGCCCCAUGAGUUCUUGGCUGCGUAUCUAGCCGUCCGGCCUGUGCCCCGACGUGAGGAGUUGCGAGGACCCGUCCAACGCUGCUCGCAGCUUUAAUUUGGCUUGUUUUUGUAUGUUACUAGUUUGUAACGUCAGCCUCUUGUACAAAGGAUCACUGCUGACAGACAGGCGGCUGGGCCAUUGAGAUGAAUAGAGCAAUGAUUGCAUUAAUUGUUAAUGAAUCAUUUGAAAAAAGAAUGACCAUUUCAAUUAAUUAAUUUCUUUGUAAAUAAUGUUAGAAACAUGUAUUAAUUCAUACAUCUCAGAAAAGAACUACAGUAAACUUGGAUAUGGGUUUUAAUUUUAAACGAUAAAUCAAUUUAUUAGUACUAACUUUUGUCCUCAACCAUUAAAUUCUUACUUACCAAGACGUACUCAAAUUUGAUGACUACUCAAUCAACAGAUCUCUCGAACAGAGUUUCUCCAAAUAUAAUCAACAAAAGGACCACUCAUCAUGGGCUCAGAAUCCAGCACUAAAACAAUUAUUCCACAAACGAAAUUGAGAACAAACACAGAAGUAAACUGACUAAUAAAAAAAAAAACGUGUGGGGCAGCCCUAACACACAAACACAUGUUUCUGUAACAACUAAACAAUUACAACAACUGGCCUCCUUAUGUGAUUUCACAAUUCCUGAAUUAGAUAAAUAACAGAAACAGCUGCUAUAAAUCACAGUAUUGAUCUCCUUACUGGGAAAAAAACUCUUAGUGUGUUCUAACAAAGAAGUAGUUUUAACAACCGCAUAACGAACAAAUUCAAAAAGUACAACUAUUAAGAUUUAGAAGGCUGAAAGCUAAUGUAAAUCAUAUUUCACAUUGUUCCUCAUAUUAUGUGAAUAGAACUUUAAAAAUGAAUAAAUGAUAAAGGUAGAGCAAAAAAGAACAAAACAGCUGUAAACAGAUGGAACAAAUUGUUACUCAAGACAGAGAGCAAAUUCAACAUAGAUGUUUGGAAACGUUUAUUGCCGUUUGAAAACAGCUAAAGCAGAAAUGAUUUGAUGAACUUGAUGCACAGAUUUAAUUAACUGUUGCAAGUCUGUUUGAUUACCGGGGCUUUAGGUUAACAUUUUUGCUCACCGGCCAUUGUGGCUGGUGGUUUUUACUAAGUUACUAGCCAUUCGCAAUUUCAUUAGCCAAAAUGUUUGUUGUUGGGAAAUUAAGUUUAAUUUGAUUUGAAGAACUCGAUUUAUGAUCUUUUCAAAUGUAACUGACUAGUGUAAACACCUAAAUCAAGACUAAACAAAAUGUACAGUGCAUCCGGAAAGUAUUCACAGUGCUUCACUUUUUCCACAAUUUUUUUUAUGUUACAGCCUUAUUCCAAAAUGGAUUAAAUAAAUUAUUUUCCUCAACAUUCUACACACAAUAACCCAUGUUAACAAAGUGAAAACUGUUUUUUGCAAAUUUUUUCAAAUCUGUUAAAAAUAAAGAACGAAAACAUAACAUGUACAUAAAUAUCAGGAUCGUCGGGAUCCAAACCUGGGUCUUCGUGUAGCAGGCGGAUACCACUGUGCUACGAGUGGUGGUGACUCAGGUGCAGAGACAGACAAGUCGUUUGGAGUGAGUCAAAAAAGGUUUCUUUACUUGCAAAGAACUCCAAAAUAUUCCUAGACAACUAAAAACAGGGUCUGAGGCCUCAUUUAUAAGCGUUACGUACGCACAAAAGAAGGCGUACGCCGCUCUCAACAAUUGGUAUUUAUAAAAAGCAAACUUGACGGAAAAAUGUGCGGUCCCGACGCAAGCUCGGACCCAUGCGUACGCACAAAAACGGGUGAAAUGAGAACCGUCGGCAAAUGCAAGAAACACGCAAACAUAUGUGAAAGCGUGUAAAACUAGACUUUUGUGUAAAUGAAAUGCCAAUACUGCCUCUCAUAAAUAACACGAACACCCGUUUGAGCGUAAAACAAACGGAAAUACAAAUUUACACAUUUUCAAAGAGAAAAGUGAAAUAUCUUCUGCAAUAAUUUUGGCAUGUUAUGCAAUUCAUCCUCAAAACACAGCUGUUGCUUGUCAGAUGCAAUCAAAUAGACGGUAAUAAAAUGCCAUGAUGCUGAUGGCUGAUCUUGCGCUCUUAGAAGAUGUGGCAAAUGGAAGGAUUCGCGCUGUAGUGCAGCGCACCAUCGGCCUGUUUAAGGGCAGAUGGCGCUGCCUCAACUGCACUGGAGGGAGGUUAUUGUCUACUCCUGAAAAGGUGUUCAAAAUCGUGCUGGCAUGUGCUGUGCUACAUAAUGUGGCACAGCUUCCAAAUGUGCCUCGCCCACCCUGACUCCGAUGGCUGUGUUGGCCCAAAACCUGUCCCCGAUCCCCAAUCAUUGCCGCCAGUCUCUCAUCAAGAGGGGACAGGUCCGGUGUCCCCUUUCCCCCACCUGUGGCAAACACACCUUGGCGAUGGCGCGCUAAACGCUUUUUUUUCUACUUUGAUGUCAGACCAUUUUUUCUUUAUUUCGGCCACGGUCCGAGGUUGUGAGGCUGCAGCGUUGCUGUGGUGCCUUUUUGGCAUUAGUAAUGCCCAUACUGUGCCCUCCAAAAAGCAUUUUACUCCUUUCCACCUCGCCAAUGAUAAUUUCGACUUCAUACUGAGUGAAGUUACGUUUCUUCGUUUUCCUCUCAGUGUUUGCCAUGAUUUCGCAAUCGAUGAAUAUUAAUUUGUGGGCGUUCCACAGACUAUAUAAGGGCAACUAUGGGCGUGACAUGAAGGCGCAAAAACUGCGCUGAAUUUAGAAGUGAUUGUGAUUUAUUAAGGGAAAACUGCGUAGGACGUGCAUGCGCACGGUUUUUUAAGUCUUAGAAGUCUGAAUAUUUCUGUGCGUACGCACGUUCUAUGUUUCAUCCGUACGCCACUUCUGGCGCAAAUCCUAUGCAAGGUUUUAUAAAUGAGGCCCCUGGACAUUUAACAAGAUAACCAAAGGUGUCCCAAAAAAGAGGCAACAAAAGAUCUUAAAAACCAAAAAGGAUUAACAGAGGUAUGGCAUCAAGAAUCUCACGCGGCUCAGCUCUAGGUGGCAAGUUCCAAGACUCGGCAAACACAAAGAAACUCAGUUGGCCUUUAAAAGACUAGAAAACAAGGCACAGGUGAACGCAAUGAGAACAAUCAAGACAACACACAUGUGACAGGUGACAGACAUAAACUGGAUCGCUGAGGACCCCAUAUUCACAGCCUUUGCUCAAUACUUUGUUGAAGCACCUUUGGCAGCAAUUACAGCCUCAAGUCUUCUUGGGUAUGAUUCCAUCAGCGUGGCACACCUAUUUCUGGGCAGUUUCUCCCACUCUUCUUUGCAGAACCUCUCAAGUUCCGUCAGGUUGGAUGGGGAGCGUCGGUGCACAGCCAUUUUCGGAUCUCUCCAGAGAUGUUCAAUCGGGUUCAAGUCAGGGCUCUGGCUGGGCCACUCAAGGAUAUUUACAGAGUUGUGCCGAAGCCACUCCUUUGUUAUCUUGGCUGUGUGCUUCGGGUCGUUGUCCUGUUGGAAGAUGAACUGUGACCCCAGUUUGAGGUCCAGAGCGCUUUCGAGCAUGUUUUCAUCGAGGAUGUCUCAUUACAUUGCUGCAUUCAUCUUUCCCUCAAUCCUGACUAGUCUCCCAGUUCCUCCCUCUGAAAAACAUCCCCACAGCAUGAUGCUGCCACCACCAUGCUUCACUGUAGGGAUGGUAUUGGCCAGGUGAUGAGCAGUGCCUGGUUUCCUCCGGAGAUGACGCUUGGCAUUCAGGCCAAAGAGUUCAAUCUUUAUUUCAUCAGACCAGAGAAUUUGGUUUUUCAUGGUCUGAGAGUCCUCCAGGCGGGCUGUCAUGUGCCUUUCACUGAGGAGUGGCUUCCGUCUGGCCACUCUACCAAACAGGCCUGAUUUGUGGAGUGCUGCAGAGAUGGUUGUCCUUCUGGAAGGUUCUCCUCUCUUCAUAGAACCAUGCUGGAGCUCUGUCAGAGUGACCAUCGGGUUCCUGGUCACCUCCCUGACUAAGGCCCUUUUCCCCCGAUCGCUCAGUCUGGCUGGGCAGCCAACUCUAGGAAGAGUCCUAGUGGUUCCAAACUUCUUCCAUUUCCGGAUGAUGGAGACCACUGUGCUCAUUGGGACUUUCAAUGCUGCAGAAAUCUUUCUGUACCCUUCGGCAGAUCUGUACCUCAUUACAAUUCUGUCUCGGAGGUCUACAGAUAAUUCCUUGGACUUCAUGGCUUGGUUGAUGCUCUGAUAUGCACUGUCAACUGUGAUACCUUAUAUAGACAGGUAUGUGCCUUUCUCAAUCAUGUCCAAUCAACUGAAUUGUCGUGUGUAGAAUGUUGAGGAAAAUAAUGAAUUUAAUCCAUUUUGGAAUAAGGCUGUAACAUAACAAAAUGUGGAAAAAGUGAAGCGCUGUGAAUAUUUUCCAGAUGCACUGUAUAUGUACAGACACCACAUUUUCACCUCUUAAGUGUGUCAAGCUCCUUUUGUAUGAAAACAUAUGCAACUUAUUGAGACAAAGACUCUGUUUAAUCGCAAUGCUUUUGACAUGGCCGAACGAAAAUAUCCUUUAUUGUUUCCACGGUAAAAUGGCUUGUCCCGACUACAGAAGAGAUCCCCUUUAAUUUUUCACUGCAGUACGUCCUACAAUCGGUGCAAUGCAUUAUUUUCCUGGCUGGAUCAUAAACCAGCCAUUCUCGAGUGGAUCUCCACUUUUCUCUCUCUUUGUCUUUGUUUCACCACCAGUUUUUUCUCUCUUGUGUGUCUGUCCUCCUGGUUUUCCUGCACCUGCUCUGUGUCUCCACGUACUCGCCUUGCGCCGAGCAGGUGGCGUCGUUGCGGCCCAUAGCGGGUGCACAACAACCGCCGCUGCCCCUGUAGGGGACAUACUAUCUCAAACGCAAACCACUGAACAUGAAACACUGUACACUAAAAUAAAAAAUGAUAGAGAUAUAGAAGGACAGCAGGAAGAGUCGCUAGUUGUUCCACCCGGUAUUCAGCCUCCAAGAGGAUCGCAUGUGUGUAGUUUUGUGUUUGAAAAAAAUACAAUUAAACAAAUGUCAUUCGCGCUGUCUGAAGUGAUUACUUGUUAUUUAGGAGAUUUAGUCUUUAGAAGAAAACUUUUAAUUGUGAUUAACCUAGAUUAAUUCAUUUUAAAAUCUCAGAUUAAUUUGUGUUAAUCUUUUAACAGCCCUAGUUAUUUUCUCAGCUCUCCCCAUGUGCCCCUUGUCUGAGGGGCUUUUUGCUUCCCAGAUACACAACACUCAAAGUGAUGCAUUCAUAAACCAUGAUUCUCGGCCACGGUGUACCACCAUAUGGUACACUCAUCUAAAAGCUGUUUUAUUUUGAGAGAAUUUACGUUUUUGUGUGAUAAUGAAGAAGCCUUCCUUUUGGCGAAAGACAUUUUUUGGAGGUUAAAACCUCCAUUAGUCUUUUCGGGAAAUACCGUUUUGCAUUAAAAUAAUCUUUUGGAUUUCUGAUUAUGACUUUUUUUUUUGUAGAAAAUCAAGGGACUUUAAGGAUCAAAUAUUACAAAACACGGUUUCCUUAUGGGAGCACACAAAAGGUACAAUCAUGGGGUAUCAAGUAAGAAGUCAGCUAUUUCUAACCUUCUGAAUACGAGAGAGUGUCAGAACUUAGUUUCAGAUUCAGGAUCCAGUGGCCCUUAAAGAUGAACCAUUUUGGACAACCACCACUCAUAAAGGAACAGUACUCUGUUAGAAAAAAGACAAUUAGUAUUGUUUUUUUGAUUAUGGGAAAGACAAACAAGGUUCUGGAAAAUGUUAAUACUUGCUACUUUGUUUAAGUUAAUACUUUGCUUUACCAAGACAUCCUGAUAGUGGCAGUUCAUCCCAUCAGUUAAACUAUACAAAUAGUGCAGAGCCAAACAUAUGGUCCCAAGCUAGGAAAAAAACAACUCUUUUUGUAUAAUGCCGUAGAAAGGGACUGUGUACUUUCUUUGGCACUGUGAUGUGCUUAUUGGGUUACCUGUUGUAGCACAUCGUAACCAAUCAGUAGGCCUUACAGCCUUACAGCGUACCAUGGUGGUUGAUGAUGAGCCAACCCCACAGGUCCUAACGGAGGAUGGUGCAAACCUUUACCCACGUCUUGGGCUAUUAAAAGAAAAGGUUAUGCUUUUAGCUUGUGCAGUCGCAAAUACAUGAUGUUUUGUGUAAAGAGGUGCAAAUAAACAAAAGGUUGUGCACAUGGAGAAAUAAAACAACAAAGCUAGUUUACAACAAAAAUAAGCCUUUUCAUUUUUUGCCUUUGAGUGGACUGCAGAGAGCCCAAAAUAUGUGUGACCCUAUUGCACUACUGUAGUUCAAUCAUGAUUUAAGGUCAUUUCUGCUUUUGUGGUCUCAAAAACACAUUUAAAGUAGAAGGGUAUUUGGGGGACGAUUGUACCAACAGUUUUCUUUUCUUUCAUGCAACUCUGUGUGGAUAUUGCCUUGAAUAGAAAUUUUCAAUAUUUAAUUUUUCGUUUAGGGCCACGACUAUUUCAGAUGUAGAGUAUGGUAAUCUUUUGGCCUGUGCACUUUAUUUUUUUACUUUUUAUUUUGAAUUUGCAUCUCACUGUGAAUGUUAUUUGUCUCUUUGUCCACCGUCCAAUGUUACGCAUCAACCGCAAUGUCAAAUUCCUUGUAUGUAAACAUAUUUUGGCAAUAAAUGUUUGGUGUCUGAAUUGUACUAAAUGUGUCUCAAUGAAAAGAAGAAAACGUUGAUGUUUUUAUUAUCCUUUGCCAAUUCAAAAUUAUAAGUCACUAAUGCCCAUCCAUCCAAAGCUAAUUGGGGCAACUUGAAAUGAAGACACAAACGUCCAUCAGUCAGUCGCCCUCUUGGCCUACACCACCUCUCCUUAUUUCAAGAACAACUAAAUAAAAACAACAGUGAAACACUUAAAAAAAACGGCAAAAUGAAAAUGUUUGCCUAUGAGUGGCUACAUGAAAUUACACCUCAGGCUAUUUGAUUCUCCCAAAGUUUACUUGUAUAACACCAUGAUGUACACCCUGACCUUGUGAAAAACAAAAAAAAGCAACUAUAAUGGACCUUUAAUCUCCCUGAGACUUUACUUCAACCAUAUUUUUAACCAGUCACUGCUGAAAGUUGUAUACAGAGCAGGCUAACCUCAAAUUGCUGCUGACAAAAACUGAAACCUGAUGACGCAAGGAUCUGCAAUAUAGACUGACUUUUAGAAGUGCAAAGGCUGCACCUGCACCCCAAUGAAUUAUGGGUACUGAAACCGAUACUGCCUCUGACGGAAUAGAAGGUUGACGUCUUUGAAACUGGCAGCCCUCAUUUUGGAGAAAUUUGCAGCUGACUUGUGAGCCAGAGCGUCUGUCAAGGAUGAAAUGUAGAUGUUGUCAUGUUCAUUUAAAAUGUAUUCAUUGUCUAAUAGGCAGAUUAAACUUCUUCCGAGAAUUGAUGUUUCAGACAAAUAUGCUUAAAAUUAAGUGUGUUGCACUUUUUAGGUCACGUUGACUCCUACUUUUUCCAAAAACAAUUUCUAUGUCUUCUUUUGUGUAAGUGGCCACUUCAGAAAAUAAAUCAUAGAAUCGAGUCAAGCCAGAAGAGUGAAGGAGUGAAGCACUGCAUUUUAAGACAACAUCAUUGGUCAUUGAGUUUUACAAAAAAAAAUGUUGUAUUCCUUUCAUAAAGUGUUUGUAUCACAUUGAGCUUUAUAAUAAAUUCUACCAUUCCUGAAACUACUGAGACGAGUGUAGUAUUUUAUACUGUAUAUAUUUAUGAGCCCAAGAGACUGCGUUGAUGUGGGAUUCCAUUGUUUUUGCACCUUUUGCACAAAUGGUUUUAAUUACAAUAUAAUAAACAUUUUAAGUUACCAUGUAAUCCAGAAGGGCAUUUAAAGGAAACUUGUCGUUUUGUGGCUCAAAUUGAUUAUGUUACAAUAAGAAAGAAAACUAAAGAUACAACAACACAUUGCGACAUCAUUGGGGAAAUAACUAUGAUGUGAUUUAAUGAGACAAAGACUACAACGAGGUGAAAGACUCUGUGAACCAGGACGCACUUAGUGGCUGAGGGCAUCUGUCCUGAUGGACAGUUUGAAAAAUAUGCCUUGCAAAUAUAGAUUUUUUUAUCUGAGCAGCACCAAGCUUUUUCCGCUAAUAAAAUAAGGAGUCAGACUCAAAACACACCUCUUUCGAUGUGGCAGUUACAUAACUUGAAUUAUCAUAGAAUGUGUAGAAUGUGUAUUUGUGCAGAUGGAAAAACAAAUGGCCUUCAGUGCAACAUAAUGAAAUGUGUGCCGUGUGAAGUGUGAAAGGGGCAUCAUAGCGGCAUGCUGCAGAUAGGAUUGGUCUCAUCUCAGGUAGUGGUCGGCUGGUAAAGUAAAUUACCUCAUUUAAAUGAAUGUAGCAUCCACAACCAGUUCGCUUGUCAUGUGCUGGUGCACAUUAUUAACAUAAAAAUCCAGCAUCACACCCUGGAGUUUAAUACGUCUAGGAUUAUAUCCACACGCCGCCAGCCCCCUUCUCACUCCCUUUCUAUUUCUGCCUCCCUCGCUAUCUGCUUCUCUCCCCACUCUCUCUUUUACUGUACCUUUCUUAUACGCUUUCAUCCGCAAUGGGUGACGGGUAAUCAAUUUAUCUCGCACGUUGCCGUGAUGUAAAGAAGGUCUUAUGGAGACAUCUCUGCGUCCGGCUCUGACAUUUGAUUCGAAAAACAUAGACGUUAAUGCUCGGCAAAGUUUAAAAUGUUGCUGUAUCACAGCCUGGUUGUGUUUCAGUUUCAGAUUAAACCGCAUGACCUUUAAUAUGAAUCUGUUCUGUUUAUUUGCUUGGAGAUUUUAAUUUAAGUUGCUACAGUUCCUGAAGGCCCACCUUUUUUUUCCAUCAGGGUCAGAGAAAGUUCCUUGUGCCUCCGGUCCAGCCAUGAGAUUCAGUUUAAUUCAGGGUAUUAUGAGGAUUUCGGUGGCUUAAACAUUUGGGUUGAGUCAUAUUGGUUGGGGAUAUGGCAGCAGGUUGGUUUUCUAAAUUCUAACCAAGCAGCAAGGGGUCUGCUGUCUUCUGCAGACACAGUACUUUCGGUAGUGGCUCAAAUUUUCCUCUCUGUUAUACGAGGUCUAUAAACAAGUGUCAAAUUUGAUACGCUGGCAAAAUCAAGAUUAUAUUAUCGAUAUAAAAGGAAAUCCAUUUCUUAUACAGUAUGUUUGUAUAAUUAUAUAUGUAAUUUCCAAAAGGUUUAAUAUCUAAAUCUUGAAACAAAUAUCAUCGUACAUUUGAGCAUCAUUAUGCACCUUCUUACUUACAGAUGCAUGGUGGCACCGAUGCACUGACCUCUGUGUUCUGGCACACCUACACCACAGAUGAGACAAACUUUGGCUGUGCAUUCAAAGACUGAAAAUUCCUUAAAUGUUUAAAACAAAAAAGCUUCAUAGUGCUCACUGUGGUGAUUGGGUUUCUGUUUGUUUGGGUUUUGGCUGUGUUCUCUUGUGUUUUGUUUGUGGCAGGGGGUGUGGCUGGCUGUUGGCGGCAACUGGACUGGACGAGACACACCUGCAUCCAAUAAUCAUCCUCCAUAUAAGCCUGGGCGUCUCAUCACGGCGACGCCAGAUUAUUCCAGUCUACUACGAACGCCCGGGUCCGUCACCGCCCGGCUCUUCGUCCUCCCCGUUGCCAGGAUCCUCGCCAGCCAAUAAACUCUCGUCCGUAUAUCCGAUCACUAACCUCUCCGUGUCUGCUUUGGGGUCCGAACCUUCACCUAAACCUAACACUCACUUUGCGGCAGUGAAACAGGCCCCGCCAUUAACAGGCCAGUUUGCCUCAUCAGGGCAAUAAUUAUUCAUUUGAAUGCUAUGAACUAUGUGUAUAUAUCAACAAAAUAAAUUCCAUUAUAAAACCCACCGUCAUAAAAUCGUCUCAUUUGAGCUCUAUUCCUCUCCCAGUGUGGGUGCAGGAGGCUUUAUAAUUAUCUCUCAUGUGCAUCUAACCUAGGACUUCUAGCCAAAGACAAACUUUAUGUGUGAAACUCAGAUUAAUUCUGAGAUGUUUGAUAUAUAUAAGAGCCCCAGACAAAUCCGAAGGCCACAGAAAUAUCUUAAUAUCAGAAAAAACCCGAAUGAUCCUUUAAUUAAUCUUCACAUUACACUAAUCCUGAUUAGGAUCAUCCUAAAUCUACAUGCGUGAAGGGUCAUGGGUGUAUGCCAAGUCUAUCAAAUUGCAUCUUGUUUGUUUGCUUGUGUCUCAAACAGGGAAGCAUGAAGGGACACAAGGAAACCGUGCAAGGAGAGAAGACAGAGGAAACAUGUUUUUGUUUCUUAGAGAAAUGAGACAGCAUUGUUUCUAAAUACCAUGGCUACUGAACGACUGUAUAGAGACGGUACUGAUGCUAAUAAAGGGCCACAGUUAUAACUGGCAGAGCAGCAGUGUGUUCGCUCCGUAUCCUUUUAUCAUCUUAACAAUACACAUGGAACCUGCAUUCUUUCAUUACGAAGUCCAUUUCUGCUCGCACAAUGUGUUUCCAGCAUUCAUUCAUUAUCUGCAUCAGUGACAACUGAUAUUUUAAUGUUGAAUUUAUUAUUCAAAUAACCAAAUUAGAAUUGUGUUUUUGGCUUACUCUUUGAGGGAAAAGUGAAAUCACAGAACUCGAAUCAAAUCAAAUAUCCAAGAAUUAUCCAACUCCAUCCAUCCAUCCAUCUAUUGUCAAACCGCUUAUCCUGCAGACAGGGUCACGGGGGGGCAAGAGUCCAUCCCAGCCAACUUCGUGCGAUAGACAGGGUAAAUUAUCCAACUCCCAUGACCAAAAUGAAUGAGUAAAGUGUUUCUUUCUGACAGAGUCUUUUGAGGGAUUGAAAACCGUGGAAAUAUAUCAAAUCAGAGGCUUGUGGUAUGUCAAAUGAAUCUCCAAAGAUGACAAAUAUACAGCUCAAUAAUUCCAAUUACAAGUCUUUACCAUAAAAUAGAAAAAGAAGAAAAAACUAACGUUCUUGAGUGAACCGGACUUGAUUGAAUUAGGUGGACAAGAAGAGUACGCCAGGUUAAUGAGCGAGCUCGAUCUAUUCAAACAAGUCCUUCGACAUCGAGACACAAGGACUUGACAAAUGUCUCUACUCGUCCCUGAAGCACUCUCACUCUCACCUGUGGAUUCCACCGGGCUCCACUUCUCAGAGCAAACAUUCAACAUUUAUUGUUGCAUUUUGAUUUAUUCUCUUUUAGUGUCCUUUUUUCCCCACAUGGACUUCAGUUUCAUCGUAAUUCCAUCUUGCUUUUUUACUCAGCUCUUGAGACGUCUCAGUGUGCCUUCACCGUCCCCUGAGACACAAAGUGAGGAGGCAAACUCAAAACGCAGCCAACAGGGCGCCGAUCCUCGAAGUUGUUAUUUUUUGCAUUAUUUCCUCAAAUGAAAGUUGUUCUUUCAAAAACAAUAUGGCUGCCGUCUGACUGCCUUGAACCUCCGCUGAUCAAACGAUCCCGACCGUGAACCGAGGACACCAGAACAAACUGAAAUUGAAAAUCUUUGCCCUCAAUCUUUUAUAAUGACUGCAUUAGAGCCCACACCAGCCUGUCGCUGUCUCCUGCAAAGCUUGCCGUUUACAACACACUCCACAUGUCCCCCCCUACACAACAACAUGACGUUCCCUUAACGAGUUUUGCCUCGAGAGCGGCGGUUUAUCAAGCGGUCACCUCGGCCCGUCUAAUACAACACUCAUCCUCGCGCCACAGAAAAACUCAAUAACUGUGUAGGAGUUUUUCACUGAGGAGGUGGAGCUCUCCAGCGCCGGGAAAAGCCAUUGACUGCGGAUGGUGACGCUGGGUGCAACCGGUGUGGGCGAAGCAUGUCUGAUGAGCCUGGAUUCAUCACAAAGUCAAUUGAAGACCUUGAAAAAGCAUUUAUUUCUCAUUUUUUUCAUCUCGCUAUAUAACUCAGCUUAAGUAUGAAAGGAACAGGUGUAAAUAAUUGAUCAGAGUGUAGAUGGGGGUGCGUUAGGAGCAAAUUAAAGUGCAGCUGUCAUGUAAACAGUCUUCUCUCAGACUUCCGCUAAAUAUUGUCUUUCCUCUUCGCCUGUCUGUCUUACCUUUCAUUUGCUCCUCCCUCCUCUUCUCUCUGCACCAACUCUCUCUCUCUAAUACACUGCAGCAGUUGUAACUCUUACAUCACCCCCCCCCCACAGACACACACACCCCCACCUUACCCAACUCCCUUUUUUUUUGGAGGUCGGUGGAGAAUAUUGAACAGCCACUUACCUCAUAUUGACAUGACUUUAGAGAAAGCCCAGAGAACAGUUGACGUCCCCAGUCUGCUUCAUGUUUAUCGUGUGCCAGUUUCAAGCGGGGAGGAGAAGGAGGUGCGUCGCCUUCACACAUGAUGGUGUCAGAAAAAGCUCGAUUUCACGGCGUCUUAUUUCUUAUGCAUCCUUCACCCUCUUGACUGCAGGAUGAUGUGCAAUUAUCUCACACACAGACACACACACACACACACAGACACCUACACUCCCACACAGACACACACACAGAGCAACCGUCCUGAAUCAUCGGGAGACAUUUCUGCAGUGGAGAUCGGUGUGUCUUGAAUUCACAACACCAUCAUGCCUCACACAUCGACUUUCCUUCAAUGCAGCCAGAAUGUAAUUGACUUUGAAAGACGGACAGAGGAACUCAUGGCGAGGAUGUUGGUGCAUGUUCCGAUAUUUGCGAUAGUAUUUGUGAUCUCCUAUGGUACUCUAUCAUCUGUGUGUCAUCAGUACUGUAUAAAACAUGUGUGACACUAAAACAAACCAUUAUAACGACCGAAAGAGAAUAUACAGGAAGCACAUAUGGGUUACAUGCCUUAUCAUUAGCGAUAUUACAAAAGGAAAAUGGCCUGUUAGGGGACAAUAAUGGGCUCCAGCAUUGAAGGCAUCCAGACAAAUGAGUAAAGCGGACCUUCCCACUGACUCAUUUAAAUAGAUGUUAUCACUCUGUGCUACAAAUUAUUCAUACUCUUGGAAAUCACAUGCUUAUGCGCGGCCCACACGUCUUUCCAAGGCACAAAGCCACAGGCCUAAUAUGUGUCAUUCCAAGACAUUUUUUUCUUGUGUGGUGAAAAUCACACAUGAGGGAAUAUUACAUGUGGAAGUAGCGGUAAAGAAAGCCCACGUCCUUCCCAGCUGCGUUAAUUACCUCCACUCCUGAGCAUCGCAAACCGCUUUCACAUGAGGUUCGCAACGCAGCAACUUUAUCACGUUUAGCGUGAAAUGUCUCUUACUUAUGAAUGAAUACCCUAUAAAAUGUAAACAGCAUGUGCUUGGAUGAAGGGAAGCAUUGAAACAUAAACCAGUCAGUUUCUUCACACUGCAAUGGGACAUCUCGUAUAAUUUGAUUUAAGAUUUGUCGAGAGGAAGAAAGUGUGAGUCUGUUAUAUGGGCUGGACUUUUAAACACAAAGAAGAAAAUGGGACAGAGUUAAAAAGAGAAAACGGCUUUUUUUGUCAUGCAGCUCAUCUUUCAAAAGAAUUUUGAAGUUGAUGCUUCAAUAAAAGAAAAGUCUGUGCUAGUACAGUAUGUCUCUUUAGAAGAAGGACAUCGUAAAAACUGCUAAAUGUUUCUCCUGAAGUUGAAUGAAACUGAUUUAUUGUAUCCUCCUCAUUUGUUGCUGCUUAUGGAGGUUUCUAUCUAAUUUGCACUUCACUUGUUUCAAAAGCCUUUGUGAAAUGAGUGGGUUUAAUCUAAUAAAAUAAUAAGCAAACGUCUAUUUUUGUUCUAUUGUUCGGGUCCUUUCUACAUCCACAGAAUGUGCACAAAGCCAAACCAAAAAACAAGAUCCAUUUUAUAUCUCUUAAACACUGCUCUCUACAAGAGAUUGACCGGAUGACAGUUUUAAACCACAGCUGCACAGACAAUACAAACAAUUUGUCGGGGAGGAACAAAUAUUAAAACAUUUGAGACAACCAACUUAAUUAGACACUUUUUAUAUUGUAAAUCAGGGGUCUCCAACGUUUUUCAGGCCAAGGUCCCCCAAACUGAUGGCAGGAUGGAGCUGGGACCCGCUAUUCUACGGAAUUUGGUCCGCCAUCUUUUAUUUUUGAGCUUCGCGCUCUUUAGACGUAAGCAUAAACGCGAUGUGAUUGGCUAGUGCCUGUGCUGUCGUAUUUGCAUGAAAGGAGCUGUGAAUGAACCGGAGCUCAGGUUGAGAGAGCUGCUGUGGGAAGCUGAAUGUGUGUGUUGCGGACUGAAAGAUAAUGUCUUCUGCAUAAAUGUAUCCGUUCGCUACAAUAUGUCGGAUUCAUGUAAAUGUGUAUUUAAAGUCAAUAAAUACAAAAAAAAUGUUUUUUUAAUAAAAAAAAAAAUUGCAACCCCCUGCAGUACCCCUGCAGACCCCCUGUUAAAGACCUCUGUUGUAAAUCAUUUGAAUGCGUGAUGCUCAGCGUAAUCACGGAGCUAUACAGCUAACGCUAAACAAGGUUACAUUGAGGAGAAUUAUGGGUCGUACUCAGCAUAUGUAUGACUAUCGAAAAUAAUAAAUUAAUUAACUAAUCAGAUAUCAUAAUGAGUUCAAAAGUAACCGUGUAAAAUGAACAUUAUGACGAGAAACUUCAAUUAAUGCAUUAGUUUGAAGGAGAUGUUUUUGCAGUAACAUACAAUGUGAAGUAGUUAAUUAUGACCUGUUUAACCGGUCCGAGCGGAUGUAGCGGCUACAAAGGUGUACAAAUGUAAAUUGCGUGCACGUGUUAACGUGUCGUCGAUCCUACACUUACACUAACACAUUAUUUGGUUCAGUGCUGUAUCCAUGCAGCACGCAUUCACAUCCCCUUAAACCCUCACGGAGAGAUCCAUCAUCUGAUGCGUUUUGGAUCAUGUUCAACUCCCUCUCUCACCGUAUUGAUGGCCCUCCAGAUUUACCUCUCACAGCGUUAGCUGAGGUGAUGCAUAUUGAAAAGCUCAGCGCCCGGUUGACAUUGGGGCUCUACCAUUUGAUCUCCUUGGGUUCAGCAAAGCGGUGAACUCUGGGUUUGGGAAGCUACAAAAUAGAUCCUGUAAAAUGGAAUAUUUGCCGAGGAGGAUGUUGGGUUGCUGGUUUACAAGCGAGUCACUAAUCCUAUAAAGUCUGGAUUACCCUUUCUUUAUGAGGCUCAGUAUUGUGUUGGAUCUUGCGGGACUGUCGAACAGGGAAAAAAUCCAAGUAAUUGACAAUACCAGGAUCCCGAUCACAGAUCCAGGAAAAUCAAAGACAAUGGACUUUUCCUGUGAUCAGCGCUCUCCUCUAUUCUUACUCUGCGAGUUGCUGUGUUCUCUACUGUAAGUCAGAAAAUCAAUGGCAGAUUCCGCUUAAUUCCCUCCCAUCCUAUCAUUUAUUUUCAUCCCCACUCUGCUGCAGAAACUCCACUCUCAGUCGUACGCUUUUAACAAAAAGUUAUUUGGCAAUAUCAGGAUGCUGUAUACCCGAUGAAUCCAUUUCAAACAGCCCAUGGAAUUCCUCUGACAUUAAACAAGGUCGGUAUGGAUUUGUGAGCAUCAGCAUGUCCUAAAGACGCCGAGGAGUCAAAACUCUUCUCAGCCACGCUACAACACUUUACAUAACAAAGCAUCAUAUCCGUGGCAUUGUUGACAGCCGACACUGCAGCUAUCACGGUACAACAACAACAAAAAAAUGGAUGUUGACACUAAACUUGUUUGGAUAAGGAAUUAGGAUUGUGUAACCAGCUUGCAUGUUAUAUUUGUCUCCAAGCAGUGCCUACGUCCCCUACUGAGACCAUUUGGAUUCAUGUCUGACAAACGCCAGCACCAACGAGAUACAUCCAGAUAUAUUUUUAUGGAGCAGAUGUUGAUCCAAGUCAUAUUAUCCCUUUCGGUACGCAGUUGAUUCAAGGCAAUACAAUGAGAUUAAACGGCACGUGAUGCAGGGCCCAGCCUGAAAAGGGUCUCAAACGCGCCAUGUCAUAUCUACGGCGUAUUUCUUAGGAGUUUCUACAAAGGCAUUUCUCCAUGUUUUGUAAGAGUUUCAUUGACGGAUCACCUGCCAUGUAUUUAUUUUUUAAUGGGCCUGCCGUUCUGCACUGUUCUGUGUAACAAACCAUCCUGCGCAUCAGGUCACUUGUCAACGUCUCAGCGUGCUGGUCAGCCACCGCCCGGUGGAUUUCCUCUGGUGCGCUUCAACUGGCUCUGGAAGUUGGCUUAAAGAGAGGCAGGAUAAGAUUGUGCGUAGCUGCGUCCAUUUUCUUCAGUUUGGCAGCUAUAUCAGGUGUACUUUUAGUCAUGAGACGUAAAAGAGAUGUUUUAGAACCUGUUUUUGUAAUGUUUUGGUAAUGUAUUGUAUUAGAUAGUCAACAACAAUCAAAAAUGUUUUAGUCCUAUUUUAGUCUUCUUUCUUUUAGUCCAAAUCUUUUCAUUUUGAAUUAGUCCUCCGUGAAAUGUCUCUUUGUCUCUUUGUUAUUGAAGAUCUCAGUCGAUCUAGUCAAGCUGUUCAACUUCCUAAGCGUGUAAAACAUCUUUUUAAUGAAAAUUGACUAUAGUUUACUUUAAAAAAUGUAGUAAUAUUGUGGAUAAUUAUUCGAGAUCUGCAAAAUACUGCAAUUUAAGACACGUUUUGGGGAUCGUAGUCUCUUCACGUUAAGUUACCACAGUUAUCGCAAAAUUGGUGAAUUCCUAAAUGACACCAAUAUAGAUUUGCAACAGGAUGCCAGAAGAUUGUAGUAUUAUUAUUUGAAAAGGCAUGGCUUUGUAUGGUUAUAUAAUUAUAAUAAUACUAUAAUAACAAUACAAUAGUUCAGUUACACUUUUACACUACACAAUUACAAAUUUGGUCAUGGUUCUCUGGUCUAAAUUACUUUACCUAAGUAAUUUACCUUACUCUAAGUUCACUUUUUUCAUCCUCACUAACUAUUUUUGCUGGUUAACACUGCAAUUAUGAGAUGCAAAAAAAUAAACCUACAGCAGAGUUUUAGGUGUUAUUAAGUUAAAACUUGCAAUCUGUUUUUAUGCAAUUUCCUCCAAGCCUCUAAUCAGCGCAACCAUGUGUCCAUCAUGGCAACGUGACAACAAAACAGGAAUAUUAACGCUUCUCUGCUGAGCACAUAUGUAUAGGAUAUGAAUAGCUUCACUGAAAUAUUCUUCUAAAGAAUAAGUACAUAUUUUUGAGGUUUAUGUUCGACCUCGAAAACGCUAGUUAAAAAAACUGGAGCUUUCAGUCAUACGCAAUCUUGAACACAAACUCCUCAUCAGAUGUGGAUUUGUACAUCUCACAAUCAUCACUUCCAUCAUUAAAAUCCUUUGAGAAAAAAGGUUCCAUAUCAACCAGUAAAUGGAAUUUUUGGUGAUACUGCUUUCUCAAAAUAUUGGCAUCGAUGUGUUCAUAUUUUGACUCAUAAGAUAAGUGUUUUUUGAUGUGUUAUUAACAUGUACAAUGGAGGCCCUUAAAAACGGCAAAAAACAACUCAAAGCAUCUCUUUACGUCUGAAGUCUUCAGCUUAAGUCUGACCUUUAAGAAAAGUUUAUUCAUAUUCACAGAAAUUAUAUGUGAUGCAAUCUAGAAUUCGAUCUCCCAACUGGACUCAAAAUAAAGACUAGAAUACACAGCAUCAUUGUUAAAAAUAGAUAUUCAGAUAGAACAUAUUCAUAUUGGAUAUGUCUGUCUGUGUGAAAGUUAACUUUAACAACUGUGCAGCAGAAGGCUUCAUGCCUAUCGGUGGUCCCUCACCGGGGGUUGCAGUUUGCACCGUUAACCUGAGGCCUUAUGUGACCUUGGGCACUUGCCCUUGGUAGGUGAAAUGAGGUGUGUGAGUCAUGGCUCGCGGUCAGGCUAUAGCACAUGACCUGGGAAAUAAUGACACUGGACAAAUGUUCUCUCUCUCUUUCUCCCUCUCUCUCUCUCUUUCUCUGCUUCUCCCAUGCAUUGUAUGAAAUCUAGCAGGCCAUUGUUUUACUGCUUAAUUUUAUAUAAAAAUAAAUAAACUGCCAUAUACAACAAUAUCAUGUAUUUAUAUAUACAUUUAUGUUCUACUUUGGCUUAGAUGCAGAUGACUGUCUAGUAACUACUCUGAAGCCUCACGCAAUGCCCCACCCACAGCACUAUGUGACCGGUUACCCGUCAUUUGUAAUAGCCCAUUAACAGCACCGGAGGCUACUGUGCUGCAGACGGUCAAGGACGAAUGCAGACUGGAGCUGCGCCGGUGAGCGCGCAGCGCUGUAUUUCUAACGUCGGGCUGCAGAGAUUACUGAAAUUACAUUAAGCAUCACAAUCAUCCACCCUGAAGUCACAGUGCUCUGACCAGGGAUGUUAACAAUUAACCGACAAUAAGCACUUAGACUGCAUAAUGCUCUCAGUUAGACUGACCAAGGAAAUAUUAGAAAUGCUAGAGUUGCAGCAUUUAUUCAAUUACAAAAAAUGUUUAUACAUACUGAAUCAGGAAUCAGGAAACAUUUAUUAGCCAAAAUAUGUCAAACAUACAAGGAAUUUGUCUUGGCGGUUAGUGCGCGACAGUAGACAGACAAGACAACAGUGCACAAGUAAUAAAAUAAAGUGGAAUGAAAUGCUAAUGCAAUGGGUUAGUAGAAUAAGGCUAAGGCUAUGGGUUAG